GGAGAGGUGGCAGAGUGGCUUAAUGCACCGGUUUGCUAAACCGGCGUACGUUUUAUAAGCGUACCGGGGGUUCGAAUCCCCCCCUCUCCG
rnacentral:tRNA from 1 species